UACGUAGGGUGCAAGCGUUUAAUCGGAAUACUGGGCGUAAAGGGCUCGUAGGCGGCCAACUAAGUCAGACGUGAAAGCCCACGGCUUAACCGUGGGUCUGCGGUGGAUACGGGCAGACUAGAGGCAGGUAGGGGAGAAUGGAAUUCCCGGUGUAGCGGUGAAAUGCGCAGAUAUCGGGAGGAACACCGGUGGCGAAGGCGGCGAUCUGGACGAUGACUGACGCUGAGACGCGAAAGCGUGGGGAGCAAACAGG
rnacentral:rRNA from 1 species